AUGUUCGGGCAGACUGACAGGCGAGGUCAAGAAACAGCUGUUGGAGUUAAUGUUUCUUCCUCCCACUUUCGUCUCAUGGCUGCGCCCGGCCAAGAGAAAGUGAGGAGAGGGAGGGGGGGGGGGAAGAAAGAAGGAAAACACGCGCCUCGCCUCCUCGGAGCAGCCGAACGGGGGUCUCUCUCUCUCUCUCUCUCUCUCGCACCACAGAGACCCCACGACAUACACCGCAGGAGAGGGCCUUGCCUUUCGGGAGGCGAGGGCGGCAGCGCUUUGGGUGGGACCCGCCUUUGGAGCCCAAGGGGUUGCCAUUGCCUGCCCACAGGAAACGCGCCUCAAACUUUGCGCUCUUCCUCUUCAACUCGAGGGAAGGAGCGCUGCGCAUCUCCAGGGACUUCAAGAGCCCACUUUUCUGUGGCUCCUCUAUUUGGAAAAGGCACAGGCAGGGAAAGGCGCCUGGUGUGGCUGCUUUGCCCCAAGUUCCCCAAAAGUCUAGGCAACAAGAGGGGGACCUGGAACUCGUGUGCGAGGCGUCGAGCCUCUUCUUGGACUGCGCUCCCGACCCAACGUGCCUUUGCCAGUAGGUCUGCCAAAGGGCUUCCUUCCUGCCUUUAUUUCUCACAGAAAGGCAUUUCAAGGGUCACCAUCCAUUGGAAAUGACUUGAAGGCAUACAACCACCACCACCACUACUACAACCACUUUUCAAAUAACGCAGUCCUCACCUGACCAUGACAUCUUACAGUUAUAUCCAUAUAAAGAGGCUGUUACCAUCGCUGCUACCAGCACACAAGAAGUGAGUCCUGCUGCCACACCCCCAGCCCUGCUUCUACUCGUGUGAGGAGGAAAGGAGGAAAAGAAGAGGGUGGUGGAGGAGGAGGCCUUAAAACACCUGCCUGCUGCUCACUUCUUGUUGUUACCAUCGCUGCUACCAGCACACAAGAAGUGAGUCCUGCUGCCACACCCCCAGCCCUGCUUCUACUCGUGUGAGGAGGAAAGGAGGAAAAGAAGAGGGUGGUGGAGGAGGAGGCCUUAAAACACCUGCCUGCUGCUCACUUCUUGCUGUUACCAUCGCUGCUACCAGCACACAAGAAGUGAGUCCUGCUGCCACACCCCCAGCCCUGCUUCUACUCGUGUGAGGAGGAAAGGAGGAAAAGAAGAGGGUGGUGGAGGAGGAGGCCUUAAAACACCUGCCUGCUGCUCACUUCUUGUUGUUACCAUCGCUGCUACCAGCACACAAGAAGUGAGUCCUGCUGCCACACCCCCAGCCCUGCUUCUACUCGUGUGAGGAGGAAAGGAGGAAAAGAAGAGGGUGGUGGAGGAGGAGGCCUUAAAACACCUGCCUGCUGCUCACUUCUUGCUGUUACCAUCGCUGCUUGCCAGCACACCCCCAGCCCUGCUUCUGCUGGUGUAAGGAGGAAAGAGAGAGGGGAAAACUUUAAAAACUCCAUAAACAUUCUGGAGAAGAAGGCAGAGCAGCUGGCUUUAAAACAUUCGCGUUCUCAGUCCUACCGUUCCCUCUGCCCCUCGGCCUGCUAUGGCCUACUGGUUUGUCCUUGGGCUCAUCUUCAGCUGUUCACAUCUUAUCACAUCUUUUUGCAUCUGGCAGCCUUUCAAGGGGUUGAGACUUUGGGAAUUUCUGGGCUGGGCCCAUACCAUCGCUAUUACCACCACUGGCUGACUUCUGGGGUUGGACCCAUUGCCAGAAUUUAAUCUAAAUUUGGUUGGACCUGGGAAGACGGGGGGUUAAUUUGUCUUUGUUAAACUGAGCCGUCAAUCCUCUUGUGACUGGGAAGUUGAGAGCAGUACUGUAUAGCUGCUAAAAAUCCUGUGUGGCUGCUAACCUAAUGUUAAAAUGUGGUGGUGUUGUAAUCACUGAUCGGGACUGCCCCCCGGAACCAGAUUGGUUUUUUGGCAAUAGAAAUUUAUUCAAUGUAUUUAACAGAUAGGCACUUUAGAUAUAGGAUUGGCUCCUCCAGCCCCUUAGUUUUAUUGUUACUUAUGUACUGUGCACUUUAUAGCCUCCAACUGUUACUAGGAUUCUGCUUUUACAAUAUCUCCCAUUCCUCUGCACAGGUCACUUUCAGUAAUUGGAACGUGGAUGUGAAUGUAAAAGGGGAGGGGGGAGUGUUGGAGGGUUUUGGAGACUAUGUAAGGGGGGUGGGAAGAGGGUGGGAAGUGCCACCAUCUGGCUUGUUCAAUUGGCGCAGUCAGGCUGACCCAGCUAAACAAUGGUCAGGGGAGGAGAGUGGGGGAUGUGCAGAGGAUGGGGGGAGUUCUGCCAGCCAUGGAGUCACCAUUGGGACGGUUAUAGGAAAAGGGAGGAUCGGGAAAUAGAUUUUAAAUGAUUUAAUUGGCCUUAAGUCCUUAUAAAGAUAUUUUUAGGUUCCGGAAAG
rnacentral:lncRNA from 1 species